GAUGGUAAGGUGAGUGAUUCCCA
rnacentral:siRNA from 1 species